CCGCGCGCGGCGCGGCGACGCGCCGCGCGAGCGACGCGGGGAGGGCGGCGUCAAGCACGCCGGACGCGUCGCGUGCGUCCGUAUCGGC
rnacentral:tRNA from 1 species